CCUACGGGUGGCAGCAGUGGGGGAUAUUGCACAAUGGGGGGAACCCUGAUGCAGCGACGCCGCGUGGGUGAAGGAGCGUUUCGGCGCGUAAAGCUCUAUCGGCAGGGAAGAAGAUGACGGUACCUGGCCAAGAAGCCCCGGCUAACUACGUGCCAGCAGCCGCGGUAAUCCGUCGGGGGCACGCGUUAUCCGGAUUUACUGGGUGUAAAGGGGGCGCAGACGGCAAUGCAAGCCAGGAGGGAAAGCCCGGGGCCCAACCCCGGGACUGCGCUUGGAACUGCAGGGCUGGAGUGCCGGAGGGGCAGGCGGAAUGCCUAGUGUAGCGGUGAAAUGCGUAGAUAUUAGGAGGAACACCGGUGGCGAAGGCGGCCUGCUGGACUGUGACUGACGUUGAGGCCCGAAGGCGUGGGGAGCAAACAGGAUUAGAUACCCGAGUAGUC
rnacentral:rRNA from 1 species